rnacentral:rRNA from 1 species
GACGAACGCUGGCGGCGUGCCUAACACAUGCAAGUCGAGCGGAGUUUUUCGGAUUGAGACCUUCGGGAGGAUUUCUGAGAAACUUAGCGGCGGACGGGUGAGUAGCGCGUGGGCAAUCUGCCUCUUACAGGGGGAUAACACAGGGAAACCUGUGCUAAUACCGCAUAAAACUGCUCUGUGGCAUCACGGAGUAGCCAAAGGAGCAAUCCGGUGAGAGAGGAGCCCGCGUCUGAUUAGCUAGUUGGUGAGGUAACGGCCCACCAAGGCGACGAUCAGUAGCCGAACUGAGAGGUUGAUCGGCACAUUGGAACUGAGAUACGGUCCAAACUCCUACGGGAGGCAGCAGUGGGGAAUAUUGGGCAAUGGGCGCAAGCCUGACCCAGCAACGCCGCGUGAAGGAAGAAGGUUUUCGGAUUGUAAACUGCUUUAGACAGGGAAGAAACAAGACAGUACCUGUAGAAUAAGCUCCGGCUAACUACGUG